AUGAACGCUGGCGGCGUGCCUAAUACAUGCAAGUCGAGCGAACAGACGAGGAGCUUGCUCCUCUGACGUUAGCGGCGGACGGGUGAGUAACACGUGGAUAACCUACCUAUAAGACUGGGAUAACUUCGGGAAACCGGAGCUAAUACCGGAUAAUAUAUUGAACCGCAUGGUUCAAUAGUGAAAGACGGUUUUGCUGUCACUUAUAGAUGGAUCCGCGCCGCAUUAGCUAGUUGGUAAGGUAACGGCUUACCAAGGCAACGAUGCGUAGCCGACCUGAGGGGGUGAUCGGCCACACUGGAACUGAGACACGGUCCAGACUCCUACGGGAGGCAGCAGUAGGGAAUCUUCCGCAAUGGGCGAAAGCCUGACGGAGCAACGCCGCGUGAGUGAUGAAGGUCUUCGGAUCGUAAAACUCUGUUAUUAGGGAAGAACAAAUGUGUAAGUAACUAUGCACGUCUUGACGGUACCUAAUCAGAAAGCCACGGCUAACUACGU
rnacentral:rRNA from 1 species